GACGAUGUGAUAUGUACGGUACGGAAAGUAAGACCAGUGGGACCCAUUCUACGUUCGCUGGCACUAUGUAAGGGAAAGACCAGGACCCAUUCUACGUUCUGGCACAGUUGGACCAUGUUAUGUUAUGAUAUGUAAGGGAAAGACCAGGACCCAUUCUACGUUCUGGCACAGUUGGACCAUGUAGAGGGCUAUUGGUGACAGGUUCAUCCUUG
rnacentral:lncRNA from 1 species